rnacentral:rRNA from 1 species
UACGAAGGGGGCUAGCGUUGUUCGGAAUCACUGGGCGUAAAGGGCGCGUAGGCGGCUUUAUAAGUCGGGGGUGAAAGCCUGUGGCUCAACCACAGAAUUGCCUUCGAUACUGUAGAGCUUGAGACCGGAAGAGGUAAGUGGAACUGCGAGUGUAGAGGUGAAAUUCGUAGAUAUUCGCAAGAACACCAGUGGCGAAGGCGGCUUACUG